UUUACCUGGUAGAUCGUAGUCUACUCUCCUCUGUGGUAUUAGUAUUUUACCUGUGUUUUGUUGUUUGCUCUUGUCGGCUUAUAGACUCAUCGGCAUAUCGAAAAUGCUGCCCUGCGUCAUUCGCCAGGUUAAAUUUUCAUCAAGCCAUCGUUUUAAUCGUGUGCAAAAUGUUUUGCCAAAAAUACUCGGAAUCUAUCAUCGAAAUCUCGUUACCAGCGUAGAUCCUUCCAAUGGCUUAAGUGAAGAGCAGCAACAAAUAUACAAGACAGCUCUAAAUUUUGCCCAUCAGGAAAUGAGGCCUCACAUGGCUGAAUGGGAUGAGCAUGAAGUCUUCCCAGUUGACACCAUGAAAAAGGCAGCAGCCCUGGGAUUUGGUGCUAUAUAUGCAAGAGAAGAUUUUGGUGGCACAGGGCUUUCACGUCUUGAUGCAUCCAUUGUAUUUGAAGCUCUAUCACAAGGUUGUGUUUCGACUACUGCCUACAUUAGCAUCCACAAUAUGUGUGCAUGGAUGAUAGAUACCUUUGGUAAUGAAGACUUGAGAAAACAUUGGGUCCCUCAACUUGCAAGUAUGGAAAAGCUUGCAUCAUAUUGCCUGACUGAACCUGGAGCUGGAUCAGAUGCAGGAUCUCUAAGUACAACUGCCAAGAAAUCUGGAAGUGACUUAAUUCUCAAUGGUUCAAAGGCCUUUAUUAGCGGAGGAGGUGAUACCGACGUAUAUUUGAUCAUGUGUAGAACUGGUGAACCGGGUCCGAAAGGGAUCUCGUGCGUCCUAGUUGAGAAAGGGACCCCUGGUCUAAGUUUCGGGAAAAAAGAGAAAAAGAUCGGAUGGAAUUCCCAACCAACUAGAGCCGUCAUUUUGGAAGACUGCCGCGUUCCAAUUAGCAAUAUUGUCGGCAAAGAAGGCCAAGGAUUCAGUAUCGCAAUGAAAGGAUUAAACGGUGGUAGAAUAAAUAUAGCAUCCUGCUCCUUGGGAGCAGCACAAGCAAGUCUGGAAAUUUCAAAAGAUCACCUCCAGGUGCGUAAGCAGUUUGGGAAGCCACUUGCUGAUUUUCAGCAUAACCAAUUUCAAAUCGCAAGAAUGGCUACAAAACUCAUUGCGUCAAGAAUGAUGAUUCGGAAUGCCGCCACGGCUUUGGAAGAGAGUCAUCCUAACCACGUCACUUUAUGUUCAAUGGCCAAACUUUAUGCCACAGAAGCGUGUUUCGAAAUUGUCAAUACUGCUUUGCAGUUGCAUGGUGGCUAUGGCUACCUGAAGGACUACCCUAUCCAACAAUAUCUCAGAGACAUUCGCGUGCAUCUAAUCCUGGAGGGAACUAAUGAGGUCAUGCAAAUGGUGAUAGCCAAAGAUAUUCUGAAAUUUAAGUAAAUUUAUUUUGAAACAGCUCGUAAAGUUUUGCUUUAUGGAGUACACUGCAAUAAAAACAAACUGCCCAUCUGGAUACGGUUUCUUUAGUCCGCCACAGAGACCUAUGGCUUUGUGGAUUGUUUCAAAUGCUAUCGUGGCCGUGGUUACCUGUCGGUAUAAUACCUGUGAAAUCCUAAAAUUGCCGAAAGAUGGUACUGCUUAUCUAGCAGACGAAAGUUAUUAAAAAAAACUAUUCUCAGAUUAGUGUGUAACGUCUUCAUUCAAUUGAUCAGUAAUUACAGUUUGAAAUAGUAUUUUUUGCUUCAAAAAAUUUUAAUUGUAAUGUUGGCCGUGUUGUGUCCGAGGCAAAUCGUCGUUGGUCAUAUUCCUCCUUGGACUGGUACGGAGUUGCUUAUAGAUAAACUACGGAAAAGCACUGUUAGCCUAUUCUUGUGCAUUUAAUUUGAAUCAAGAAUCCAAUUCUCUGAAAUCAAACAGAAGAAAGGUUCCUGUUGUAUGUUACCGAAAUGCCCUCCAGACGCCCACCGCUUACAGAAGAGCAGAAAGCUGAAAAGAAUGCAAAGCUUCGCGAAAGAAGGGCUUCAGAAACGGCUGAUGCUAGAGAGAGGCGGUUGCGGGAAGUCAGAGAACGAAGAGCUGCAAUAAAAAUAGGAAAACGCAACAAUGACAAAACUCUGAAGUCUCUUGCUCCUCAAGCUGUACAUCAACGAAUAGUCAUCAUCGUCCAGAGCGAUAAAGCUAAAGGCGACAAACCGCGUCUUAUCCUUCCAAAGCAGUCAAAGAGUACUCCAGGUGUUUUGCUAACCUGGUCUUUUAAUCAAAUCAAUCAUAUUCCCUUGGCGAUCUCUGCCGUUAAUCCGCAAGUUGUGGAACCUAGUUGCCAGGAAAGGACAACAUUAUCAAUCAUAUGUGACAGCCAAUCUGACAAAACAAUACUUCCCCAAUCAUCGGUUACCCCAGAAUCUGAGAGGCGACCGAAUGAAACGCCUGUAACAAAAUCGCACACUCUUACGUUAAAGGACGAAGCAAUGGAGUCAAUAGUGGCAACGAGCAGUCCAGUGAAAACUAUGGCAGACAAAAGCCUCUUGAACAGUCCUCAGGCAGCCGGAAAGGAAACCAGUGGCAGCUUGCAUCCGGCUGAAGUUCUUCAAACCUGUUCACGACAGGUGGAAUCUAGCAACUCGAAAAAUAAC